rnacentral:lncRNA from 1 species
CCUCGUCGUACUCCUCGAGCAGCUUGGCGAGGUCGUCGUCGCAGGUGACGGAGAUGAGCGCGUCCAGGUCCUCCGUCGGUAGCUGACACCGCAGGUGCGCUUCCCAGCCGCCGCACAAUUCCCUCAGCUUCCGCUGCAACACUGCCGACAGAAAUAAACGGCAACUGAAGUCAGAGAAAUCAAAGGAUUGUUCAGUGGACUCGUGUCGAUUCGCCGGCACAAAUAUAUGUACUACCGUAAAACCGGAUGGGACGGUCGACGGAGAGGACCCGGUUGUCGCCGCCGACGUAGCGCAGCGUGCCGUCGGUGCGGCGGGGCAGGAUCCUGCCGCCGUAGCUGCACAGGAACUUGACGCUUCCCUCGGCGUCGGCGACGGCGACGGCUGCGGCGCCCACAGAGUCCGGCUCGGUGACGCAGACGACGUCGUGGUCGGGCGACCCGAACGACGACGCGCAGGAUGAAGACGACGACCACGACGAAGUUCCCGCCAUGCUCUGGUAGCGAUCUUAGUAUGUAAGAGUAAGAGUAAGGUAAACUCAGUGGCCCGCUGGAUAGCUGCCCA